rnacentral:lncRNA from 1 species
CAUGACACAGUUAAGAAAAAUAAUGAGGAAAGUGAAUCAUUAGCUACUAUGUCAUAAUGGUACAAAAAGAUUCCAAGUUACUGUCCAUAGGAGGCAAUGAUGCCACGUAAGCAACCUCCCUGCACUCUCCCAGGGGUUCACAGGUGUGGUGGCCCCUGGGAGCUUAUGCAGAAUCAGCUCAUCAUCGAUCCUUCCAAACUCAUCCCCAU